GAAAUGCGAUAAGUAAUGUGAAUUGCAGAAUUCAGUGAAUCAUCGAAUCUUUGAACGCACAUUGCGCCCGCCAGUAUUCUGGCGGGCAUGCCUGUUCGAGCGUCAUUUCAACCAUCAAGCCCCCGGGCUUGUGUUGGGGACCUGCGGCUGCCGCAGGCCCCGAAAACCAGUGGCGGGCUCGCUGUCACACCGGGCGUAGUAGAUUUUUCGUCUCGCCCAGGGCGUGCUGCGGGUUCCGGCCGUUAAAAAGCCUCUCUUUUAACCCAAGGUUGACCUCGGAUCGGGUAGGAAGACCCGCUGAACUUAGGC
rnacentral:misc_RNA from 1 species